rnacentral:rRNA from 1 species
CUACGGGCGGCUGCAGUGAGGAAUAUUGGUCAAUGGGCGCGAGCCUGAACCAGCCAUCCCGCGUGCAGGAUGACGGCCCUAUGGGUUGUAAACUGCUUUUCUAUGCCAAGAAACCUGAUUACGUGUAAUCAGUUGCCGGUAGCAUAGGAAUAAGCAUCGGCUAACUCCGUGCCAGCAGCCGCGGUAAUACGGAGGAUGCAAGCGUUAUCCGGAUUCAUUGGGUUUAAAGGGUGCGCAGGUGGGCUUGUAAGUCAGUGGUGAAAUGCUGCCGCUUAACGGUAGAACUGCCAUUGAUACUGGGAGUCUUGAGUAUGGUUGAGGUAGGCGGAAUGUGUUGUGUAGCGGUGAAAUGCAUAGAUAUGACACAGAACGCCAAUUGCGAAGGCAGCUUACUAAGCCAUUACUGACGCUGAGGCACGAAAGCGUGGGGAGCGAACAGGAUUAGAUACCCUAGUAGUC